rnacentral:lncRNA from 10 species
GGAAAUGACUGACCUGAUGUGUGUUAUAACCCAUCUGAGCCCCCUACAACCACCAGUUUUGAAAUAAGAUUAAGAACUGGCCUUUUCCUAGGUGAUACAAGUGAAAUAAUAACUAGAACAGAAGAAAAAGGAAUCCCCAAACAAGUAACUUUAAGAUUUGACGCUUGUGCAGCCAUUAAUAGUAACAAGCUAGGAACAGGAUGUGGUUCUCUUAACUGGGAAAGGAGCUACAGAGUAGAAAAUAAAUAUGUUUGUCAUGAGUCAGGGGUUUGUGAAAAUUGUGCCUUUUGGCCAUGUGUUAUUUAGGCUACUUGGAAAAAGAACAAAAAGGACUUGGUUCAUCUUCAGAAAGGGGAAGCCAACCCCUCCUGUGCUGCCAGUCACUGUAACCCACUAGAACUAAUAAUUACCAAUCCCCUAGAUCCCCAUUGGAAAAAGGGAGAAUGUGUAACCCUGGGGAUCAAAGGGACAGGGUUAAACCCCCAAGUUGCCAUUUUAGUUCAAGGGGAGGUCCACAAGCACUCUCCCAAACCAGUGUUUCAAACCUUUUAUGAGGAGUUAAAUCUGCCAGCACCAGAACUUCUGAAAAAGAUAAAAAAUUUGUUUCUCCAAUUAGCAGAAAAUGUAGCUCAUUCCCUUAAUGUUACUUCUUGUUAUAUAUGCGGGGGAACCACUAUCAGAGACCGAUGGCCUUGGGAAGCCUGAGAGUUGGUGCCCACUGAUCCAGCUCCUGAUAUAAUGGGGGCUUGUCCAGGAUCUCAUCAGGACUGGAUGGCUCUCGCUGGACUAUACUGGAUAUGUGGGCAGAGAGCCUACAUUCAGUUACCUAAUGAAUGGGCAGACAGUUGUGUUAUUGGCACUAUUAAGCCAUCCUUUUUCUUAUUACCGAUAAAAACUACUGGUACUAUCUGUAAAUUCCAGACAUUGUAUGAGAAAGCACUGUAAAACUUUUUGUUCUGUUAGCUGAUAUAUGUAGCCUCCAGUCACAUUCCUCAUGCUUACUUGAUCUAUCAUGACCCUUUCACGUGGACCCCUUAGAGUUGUAAGCCCUUAAAAGGGCUAGGAAUUUCUUUUUGGGGGAGCUUGGCUCUUAAGACAUGAGUCUGCCAAUGCUACCGGCCAAAUAAAAACCUCUUCCUUCUUU